GCAUCAGUAGUCUAAUGGUUAGGAUGCUUGCCUUCCAUCGAGUUCAUCUCUGGAGUCAGCAAGCGGUCCAAGUUCGAUCCUCGGCUGAUGCA